rnacentral:tRNA from 1 species
GAGGAUGUAGCUCAAAUGGUAGAACCUCGCUUUGCAUGCGAGAGGCACGGGGUUUCGAUCCCCCGCAUCAUAUAUCCUCG